rnacentral:tRNA from 2 species
GGGCCCGUAGCUCAGCUGGUAGAGUACUUCGUUCGCAACGAAGAGGCCGGGAGUUCGAAUCUCCCCGGGUCCA